rnacentral:rRNA from 2 species
UCGAACGAUGAAGCCCUUCGGGGUGGAUUAGUGGCGAACGGGUGAGUAACACGUGGGCAAUCUGCCCUUCACUCUGGGACAAGCCCUGGAAACGGGGUCUAAUACCGGAUAAUACUUUCCCUCUCAUGGGGGAAGGUUAAAAGCUCCGGCGGUGAAGGAUGAGCCCGCGGCCUAUCAGCUAGUUGGUGGGGUAAUGGCCUACCAAGGCGACGACGGGUAGCCGGCCUGAGAGGGCGACCGGCCACACUGGGACUGAGACACGGCCCAGACUCCUACGGGAGGCAGCAGUGGGGAAUAUUGCACAAUGGGCGAAAGCCUGAUGCAGCGACGCCGCGUGAGGGAUGACGGCCUUCGGGUUGUAAACCUCUUUCAGCAGGGAAGAAGCGAAAGUGACGGUACCUGCAGAAGAAGCGCCGGCUAACUACGUGCCAGCAGCCGCGGUAAUACGUAGGGCGCAAGCGUUGUCCGGAAUUAUUGGGCGUAAAGAGCUCGUAGGCGGCUUGUUGCGUCGGUUGUGAAAGCCCGGGGCUUAACCCCGGGUCUGCAGUCGAUACGGGCAGGCUAGAGUGUGGUAGGGGAGAUCGGAAUUCCUGGUGUAGCGGUGAAAUGCGCAGAUAUCAGGAGGAACACCGGUGGCGAAGGCGGAUCUCUGGGCCAUUACUGACGCUGAGGAGCGAAAGCGUGGGGAGCGAACAGGAU